GCGAGGCGGCGGGCGGCGGAAGAGGACGGCGUGGACGCUGCUACAACUGCGGGCAGAGGGGACACUUCAAGCGCGACUGCACCAGGCCAAGGAAGGAGGCAGCGGCGGCGGAGCAAGCACUGCUGGCGAACGCCGUUGACGAUGUCGACGGCCCUGCACUCCUCUGAGCCUCGGCUUAGGGGGUGAAUGUUAGGAAUAAGCCGCGGUUGGGCUCGGCGC
rnacentral:lncRNA from 1 species